rnacentral:rRNA from 1 species
UACGUAGGGUGCGAGCGUUAAUCGGAAUUACUGGGCGUAAAGCGUGCGCAGGCGGUUUUGUAAGCCAGAUGUGAAAUCCCCGGGCUUAACCUGGGAAUGGCAUUUGGGACUGCAAGGCUGGAGUUUGGCAGAGGAGACUGGAAUUCCUGGUGUAGCGGUGAAAUGCGUAGAUAUCAGGAGGAACACCGGUGGCGAAGGCGGCCCUCUGGACGGUGACUGACGCUGAGACGCGAAAGCGUGGGGAGCAAACAGG